rnacentral:sRNA from 1 species
AUUUAUAUUAUAUAGUUUACAAUUGUUAUAAGUUAUGUUUGUUGU